rnacentral:lncRNA from 1 species
ACUGUCAUAUAAAUUUCAAGAGAUGCAAAAUAAGAACACUAAAUUUACAGAUGAAGCAUUGGUUGAGCCCCUUAUCAUAGUUUCUAGUGUUACUAGGACAUUUUCACUUUCUAUAAAGUUCUAUAUUUUUUUUGGAUAAUUGGACACCAAGCGACACCUCUUGGCACAUCAAAAGUGCAAUUAAGUUAUUUUCUAUGCAUC